GGAAGUAAAAGUCGUAACAAGGUUUCCGUAGGUGAACCUGCGGAAGGAUCAUUGUCGAAACCUGCAAAGCAGAAAGACCAGCGGACCCAUUACAACACCCAGGGGUGACCCCAACCCCUGACGCUGAGUGUGUGCAGCCCUGCCUUGCGCCCUCAGCAUAAAACGAACCCAGGCGCGGAACGCGUCAAGGAAUCAUAACGAAACGAGCUCCUGCCGUGGCCCCGGGGACGGUGAUCGCCGCAGCAGCUGUGUUGUGCUUGGUUAAGUCUAAAAUGACUCUCGGCAACGGAUAUCUCGGCUCUCGCAUCGAUGAAGAACGUAGCGAAAUGCGAUACUUGGUGUGAAUUGCAGAAUCCCGUGAACCAUCGAGUCUUUGAACGCAAGUUGCGCCUGAAGCCAUCAGGCUGAGGGCACGUCUGCCUGGGCGUCAAACACCGAUGCCCCCCCAAAUCCCCUCGUCACUCUCCCCUGAGUGCCCGGGGAGUGUGGGGGUCGGAUGAUGGCCUCCCGUGUCUUGGCUCGCGGUUGGCCCAAAGUCGAGUCCUCGGUCACGGUUACCGUGGUGACAGGUGGUUGUCGGUCGCUCGGUACCCCGUCACGUACGCCGGACACGAAUCGAGACUCUCUUGAUUACCCCAACGCAUCCCCGUUUGGGUGCCUCUGAUGUGACCCCAGGUCAGGCGGGGCUACCCGCUGAGUUUAAGCAUAUCAAUAAGCGGAGGA
rnacentral:rRNA from 1 species